AGAGUUUGAUCCUGGCUCAGAUUGAACGCUGGCGGAAUGCUUUACACAUGCAAGUCGAACGGUAGAGGGGGCAACCCCUUGAGAGUGGCGAACGGGUGAGUAAUAUAUCGGAACGUGCCCAGUCGUGGGGGAUAACGUAGCGAAAGUUACGCUAAUACCGCAUACGAUCUAUGGAUGAAAGCGGGGGACCGUAAGGCCUCGCGCGAUUGGAGCGGCCGAUAUCAGAUUAGGUAGUUGGUGGGGUAAAGGCUCACCAAGCCAACGAUCUGUAGCUGGUCUGAGAGGACGACCAGCCACACUGGAACUGAGACACGGUCCAGACUCCUACGGGAGGCAGCAGUGGGGAAUUUUGGACAAUGGACGCAAGUCUGAUCCAGCCAUUCCGCGUGCAGGAUGAAGGCCCUCGGGUUGUAAACUGCUUUUGUACGGAACGAAAAGGUUUCUCUUAAUACGAGGAGCUCAUGACGGUACCGUAAGAAUAAGCACCGGCUAACUACGUGCCAGCAGCCGCGGUAAUACGUAGGGUGCAAGCGUUAAUCGGAAUUACUGGGCGUAAAGCGUGCGCAGGCGGUUAUGUAAGACAGAGGUGAAAUCCCCGGGCUCAACCUGGGAACUGCCUUUGUGACUGCAUAGCUAGAGUACGGUAGAGGGGGAUGGAAUUCCGCGUGUAGCAGUGAAAUGCGUAGAUAUGCGGAGGAACACCGAUGGCGAAGGCAAUCCCCUGUACCUGUACUGACGCUCAUGCACGAAAGCGUGGGGAGCAAACAGGAUUAGAUACCCUGGUAGUCCACGCCCUAAACGAUGUCAACUGGUUGUUGGGUCUUCACUGACUCAGUAACGAAGCUAACGCGUGAAGUUGACCGCCUGGGGAGUACGGCCGCAAGGUUGAAACUCAAAGGAAUUGGCGGGGACCCGCACAAGCGGUGGAUGAUGUGGUUUAAUUCGAUGCAACGCGAAAAACCUUACCCACCUUUGACAUGUACGGAAGCCUUUAGAGAUAGAGGCGUGCUCGAAAGAGAGCCGUAACACAGGUGCUGCAUGGCUGUCGUCAGCUCGUGUCGUGAGAUGUUGGGUUAAGUCCCGCAACGAGCGCAACCCUUGUCAUUAGUUGCUACAUUCAGUUGGGCACUCUAAUGAGACUGCCGGUGACAAACCGGAGGAAGGUGGGGAUGACGUCAAGUCCUCAUGGCCCUUAUAGGUGGGGCUACACACGUCAUACAAUGGCUGGUACAAAGGGUUGCCAACCCGCGAGGGGGAGCUAAUCCCAUAAAACCAGUCGUAGUCCGGAUCGCAGUCUGCAACUCGACUGCGUGAAGUCGGAAUCGCUAGUAAUCGUGGAUCAGAAUGUCACGGUGAAUACGUUCCCGGGUCUUGUACACACCGCCCGUCACACCAUGGGAGCGGGUCUCGCCAGAAGUAGUUAGCCUAACCGCAAAGGAGGGCGAUUACCACGGCGGGGUUCGUGACUGGGGUGAAGUCGUAACAAGGUA
rnacentral:rRNA from 1 species